rnacentral:SRP_RNA from 1 species
GGUCAGGCGCUGUGCAAUUCGUAACCGCCAAACUCCGCCAGGCCCGGAAGGGAGCAACGGUAGGCGGCCUAUGGGUGUGCCGCAGAUUGCUUGACCGGA